rnacentral:tRNA from 1 species
UGGAUGGGUGCUGGGACACAAGGGAGGCUGUAACCCUCUCGCUUCGGCUAGCUGAGUUCGAUUCUCAGACGUCCAAC